CAGCCGCCGCGGGAAUACAGAGGGUGCGAGCGUUAAUCGGAUUUACUGGGCGUAAAGCGUGCGUAGGCGGCUUCUUAAGUCGGAUGUGAAAUCCCUGAGCUUAACUUAGGAAUUGCAUUCGAUACUGGGAAGCUAGAGUAUGGGAGAGGAUGGUAGAAUUCCAGGUGUAGCGGUGAAAUGCGUAGAGAUCUGGAGGAAUACCGAUGGCGAAGGCAGCCAUCUGGCCUAAUACUGACGCUGAGGUACGAAAGCAUGGGAAGCAAACAGGAUUAGAUACCCCCGUAGUCCCUGUCUCUUAUAC
rnacentral:rRNA from 1 species